UCACAGGUCAGAAAGGGGGACAAGGCUCUCCUCCUGAAUUCUGGGGAGCUAGGAAUGGCUUUCCCAGCCCAGAGGACCGGCCAGCUCUUCAGCUUUCAGUUCAUGGACCGUCCUCAGGUGAAAUCUGGUCCUGCACUGCACCAAACACCUUCCCCCAUCCGCUGCAGCGGCCCUCCACCUCCCCGUCCGCUCCCAGCAGAGACGAGGAGAGAGUAUUUUAAUUCAGAGAAUCUGCCACACAGCACUAGGACACAACACAUGUGAAUGACAGAAAAUCAUGGCCAGUUUGCAGCAUAAAGAGAAAUGUCCUGAAGAGCACAGAGAAGACUGCAGAGAAUGACACUGAUGGGAAAGACCUUGGAUAUCCACUCUGGUUAAAUCUGACUUAGUCCUGGAAGCAGGUUGCAUAGCUCUGUACAGAAUCCUGACAGUCAACAGGGAGGAGGCUUCCAGCUUAGCUCCAGCUUGAUCUCUCCACGAUCUGCAGCCCAAGCAUGUGGAGUCUUCAGCAACAGAGUCUUACCAUGUAGUUCUGGUGGGCAUCCGAGGGCCUCGACAGUAAUAGCCUGUAAGUGCUUUGGGAACAUCAACAGCC